AUUGAACGCUGGCGGCAUGCUUUACACAUGCAAGUCGAACGGCAGCGCGGGCUUCGGCCUGGCGGCGAGUGGCGAACGGGUGAGUAAUACAUCGGAACGUGCCCAGUAGUGGGGGAUAGCUCGGCGAAAGCCGGAUUAAUACCGCAUACGACCUGAGGGUGAAAGCGGGGGAUCUUCGGACCUCGCGCUAUUGGAGCGGCCGAUGGCAGAUUAGCUAGUUGGUGGGGUAAAGGCCUACCAAGGCGACGAUCUGUAGCUGGUCUGAGAGGACGACCAGCCACACUGGGACUGAGACACGGCCCAGACUCCUACGGGAGGCAGCAGUGGGGAAUUUUGGACAAUGGGCGAAAGCCUGAUCCAGCAAUGCCGCGUGUGUGAUGAAGGCCUUCGGGUUGUAAAGCACUUUUGGCGGGAACGAAAAGGACUGUGCCAAUACCACGGUUCGAUGACGGUAACCGCAGAAUAAGCACCGGCUAACUACGUG
rnacentral:rRNA from 1 species